rnacentral:misc_RNA from 1 species
GAAAUGCGAUAAGUAGUGUGAAUUGCAGAAUUCAGUGAAUCAUCGAAUCUUUGAACGCACAUUGCGCCCUUUGGCAUUCCGAAGGACAUACCUGUUCGAGCGUCAGUUGCACAACUCAAGCACAGCUUGGUGAUGGGCGCCUGUCUCCCCGCGCUUUGCGGCGGGACUCGCCUGAAAAGCAUCGGCGUCCAGCGGCUGGUCUUGCGCGUAGCAGAAACGCGAACUCGUGAGCCCGUCCGGGCGGCUCCCAGAAGCUACACCCACCCAGUUUGACCUCGGAUCAGGUAGGGAUACCCGCUGAACUUAAGC